rnacentral:rRNA from 1 species
UGUCCAGACUCCUACGGGAGGCAGCAGUGGGGAAUAUUGCACAAUGGGCGAAAGCCUGAUGCAGCAACGCCGCGUGAAGGAAGACGGUUUUCGGAUUGUAAACUUCUGUUCUUAGUGAAGAAUAAUGACGGUAACUAAGGAGCAAGCCACGGCUAACUACGUGCCAGCAGCCGCGGUAAUACGUAGGUGGCAAGCGUUGUCCGGAAUUACUGGGUGUAAAGGGGGCGCAGACGGCGAUGCAAGCCAGGAGUGAAAGCCCGGGGCCCAACCCCGGGACUGCUCUUGGAACUGCGUGGCUGGAGUGCAGGAGGGGCAGGCGGAAUUCCUGGUGUAGCGGUGAAAUGCGUAGAUAUCAGGAGGAACACCAGUGGCGAAGGCGGCUUACUGGACAGUAACUGACGUUGAGGCUCGAAAGCGUGGGGAGCAAACAGGAUUAGAUACCCGGGUAAA